CACGGGGGGAGCAAGCGUUGUUCGGAAUCACUGGGCGUAAAGGGCGUGUAGGCGGUCAGGUAAGUGGGAUGUGAAAGCCCUCGGCUCACCCGAGGAUCUGCAUCUCAAACUGCCUGGCUUGAGUAUGGGAGAGGAUGAGGGAAUUCCUGGUGUAGCGGUGAAAUGCGUAGAUAUCUGGAGGAACACCGGUGGCGAAGGCGACAUCCUGGACCGGUAUUGACGCUGAGGCGCGAAAGCCAGGGGAGCAAACGGG
rnacentral:rRNA from 1 species